AACUUUUUGAAUCCGUGCUGAGAUUUUGUCAGACACCAACCCAUUAGGGCUGAUCAGACUUCCAGCGCUUAAUAUAAGUG
rnacentral:pre_miRNA from 1 species